UGUGUGUCAGUGAAUGUGUGUGUGUCAGUCAGUGAGUACACACUCACUGACUGACACACACACAUUCACUGACACACACA